UGUCACAAAAGCACUAAGAGCUUUGGGUGUUGUGGCAGACCAAAGGCAGCAGGCUGCAGUAGUUUGAUGGAGGGCAGGUAUAGGGGCAGCUAGGUGAGCAGGUUCUUGUUCCCUGAAUAGGCUGCCAGAGACUGCUGCCCACCAAUUAAGACAGGCGGGCACUUAGGACUCAUCAAGAGCCAGCCUGCAGCAGCAGGUUAAUGGGUCACCUGCAGCCAGGUAGGGCCUGCUGAUCCAUUAUAAAAGGUUUCCCUUCAGAAAGGAGGAGGGAGGAGGAGGUGGCGGUGGCAAGGUCAAGGUCAAGGGCAAGCAGGAAAGGUUUUCUUGCCCUUGGAUGCCAGAAAGAAGGUACUGUGGGAGUGGUUGGAGAGGUGACCCAGAGAGAGGCUGCUAUUCCAUGGGAAUGAGGGCAAGAGCCCCACUAGUGGCUGCUACCUAGGGCCCUGGGCUAGAACCCAGGUGAGACUGGGGUCCCCCAACCCUCCCCACAUUUGGUGGGCUGCUACCAGGGAAAAGGGGAUUUUUUGGACCUUGGAAGGGUUUUCCCUUCCAACCUAGUGACUGGUCUAUGAUGAAAAUGGCUCAUUAAACAGGGAACCCUCAUCUCCAAGAGAAACAAAAGGCUGUGGGAGGGUCACCAUGAGCCUCUGAGAUGUCUUAAAAAUCUGCUAGGAAGUAUAGGACCCAAGGGGCACCACCAGAGACCUGCCACUGUAUAUAAGCAAGGGACUGGUGCAUAGACAUAGGGAGGUGACAUUAUUUUUUUAUACUGAGUUAAUUAGAGCAUCACUGGAAUUCUGAGCCCACUUCUGGACUCCACAUUUCAGGAAUAAUGGAUGAUUCAAGUCCUGGAAAGUCUGCAUUACAACAAGAGAUUAAGGAAACUUUAGUUCAUCCAAAAAGAAAGGUUGAGGUGACUCAACUAUAAUAUAUAUGUAAAGAUUUCUGAUUGUACAGCGGGGUGAGCAAUAAUUUUUGCAGCGGUGCCACUUCAUGAAUGUUAAUAGUGGUCAUGGGCUACAUAAAGCCCUUUCCCCGCAAAGGGUAAGGCCUCAUGCGGAAGAGGUGGGGCCUCGGGCAGAAGGGCGGUUCCCUUUAGGUGCUGCAUGUCCCUGGUAGGGGGAGGAGACUUCACAUGCUUCCCUGCCCUAAGGCCAAUCGGGACUUAGUAGCGGAGGUGGGCAUGAAGUCAUUUGCUGUUCAAAACAGCUGGCAGCUUCCUCUAGGCCAGGGGGUCCCAACCUGGGGUAUGCGUACCCCCAGGGGGUACGAGAAGCUUGUCAAGGGGGUACGUGGGGGUACAUGGGGAAUAUUUGGUAAAUAAUUAGAUUAUCCUAAUUGAAAUAUUCCAAAAGUAGUAGUGUUAGUGAAAAAAGUUGUGGAUUCUAGAGUCUAGAAUUUAUUUCCUUUCAUGUUGAAUAGGGGGUACGGGAAAGUUUACUAAAAGCCAAGGGGAUAUGGGGACCGAAAAAGGUUGGGAACCCCUGCUCUAGGCGCUGUGCACCCCCUAGUGGGAGUAGGGAGCUGUCAGCCGCCAGCUGCUCUGAAUAUUGAAUGACUUUUUGCUCACUGCCCCACCCCCAGGUCUCGAUUUGCCUGGGGGAGGGGGUGCAGCAGGGCCAUUGCAGGAUGGAUCAAAUGGCUUGGUAGGCUGAAUCUAGUGUGUGGACCAUAUCUUGCCCACCCUUAUUGUAAAGGGGUUUUACAUUUAUUAAAUAAAGGUAUUACAAGAUAUAAUGACUAGAAGCUGAAGGCGGACACAUUCAGACCAAAUACAUUUUUAACAGUGAGGGUAGUUAGCCAUUACAUUGAUUUAUUUAGAGGUGUGAUGAAGUCUCUAUCAAUUGCAGCCUUCAACAUCAAGAUUUGAUGUCUUCCUAAUGUAAGCAGGGUCUGAACGAGCUCUCCCCCUCCCCACCUAGCUGUCAGAGAGUUCAUUUAGAUCCUUCUUACAUCCUCUCCCCUCCCUCAGCUGAGACGGUCAUCCUGGCAAAUAACACUUCUAUGUUAUACCAACUGCAUGCAUUGUCCUCAAAAGGACUGAGGAAAACCACUCUAUGAGUAACGCUAAAAUAACAGAAAUUAUAGGAUUAAUGCAGGAGUAACUUUUGGUGAAAACAGUUGCUGUGUGACAUAGGAGGGCACAUUACCUUCUGGCUUUAAAAUUUACCUGUCAAGUACAAAUUUCCCAUAUUAGCAUGAGUUUCCCCCAUUUUGACCUAGUAUACUGUGUAUCAAUUCUUAAGUAAGGUGGUGGAAUGGGGAGGCACAUGGAAGGUCAGGUUACCAUCAGCAUGUGUGUCUAAGAAAAGUGGGCAGAGUUAUCAGGGAUGCUCAGUUUGGAUAAACUUCAACUUUUCAGUCCUUAGUGGAGAAGAAGUCUGGAUUUAGAGGGGGUGGUCACCACCUUGUUUGUUGAUGUCUCAGGUCUGGUUUCCAGCCUCAUGAAGUGUGUACAAGGAAGUGGUUUGGAUAAAAUUUCAGCUUUGACCCAUCCUCAAACUCUGAAUUGAAGGAGAAAAGUAUGUGUGCUCUCCACACUCAGCUAAGAAGAAAGUUCAAUAAAUAUUACUCUCCAGUAAAUUUUUACAUCUUCAGAGCUACAUUUGCAUCCUUCCAAAGGGUUUUAUUUUCUGUUUCUUUUCAUCUGCACCAUUGUCUCCUAUAAACCAAUUCUUUACUCUCCCUGGGAAUAGUAGAAUGUGUGACUAGGACAGAGUUUACUAAAUGCUGAAUUAGCGGGGAUUGAUUUAACUGUGUAGGCAUUUACUUGUUCUUAGAAAAUCUUGUGUGUGAACUUUGAAGUAGUUGUUUGAUGCCAUUUUUUUUCAGAGCAGGAUGUAAAAUGAUUCUCUCUAAUUUCCUACAAAGAGCCCCAAUAAAAAGCUGUCCUGUGACACACACAUGAAAAGGGUAGAAUAAAGGCCCAGUUGACAGAAACCACUCCAGACUGACAUAUUUGUGAGCUACGUAUCAUUUCCCUGACCAGCCUAAAAUUAGAUCAUAAAAGUUAAUUUUUUUGGUUUUUGUACACAGAUUACCAAUGGCCUGUCAUACUUCAUAGUACUAAGAUAUUAAAAAUUCAGUACCAUCACACUCAUGGAAUUCUUUCCAUGUAGUAAUAUUUGUGAAAUUCACUCAAUUUCAUUGCGGCUGUGUAUGUACAAGCUUCAUUCCUGAGAGCUGUACAUGUUGACUCUCAAUAAAAAGAAAUUCAUAUAAUUAAACAACUUCAGUUAUGUUCCCAGAAAAGUGGAGAGCCAAUAGCCACAAAACUUUCCACGGAGGACAAAAGCAGUAGAUAAGGACAUUAUUUGAUUUCAGUGUUUAAAAGGUCAAUGUUUGCUGUUUUACUUAGAAUUGUUAGUUCCUAACCCUAAUAAUGCCUUUAGGAAAUGGUAAAAACCCUUCUAAGUCCUAUUGUGUUCUAUCUAUUUUUGUUUAAAUGAAGCAGUUCAGCUCCUCCAAACAAUAUCCUUUACUUCCUAGAUUGGGAGAGGUUGAGAUUACUGAGCAGACAACAAGUUUAUCACCUGCGGGAAGAAGCAUUUACAACUGCACUUCAGAGACCGGCCUGCUAACAGAAUCGAACUGAUGGAUUCUGGGUCCAGUCUUCCUUGACUGGAAGAACUUGAAAUCAUUAUGGUGCUUUUGUGAGAGAAGAGAAUGGGCAGGGUUUGAGUAUGCAGCUAUAUUAUCUGAAAGCCAGAUUAAGUGCAGGGUGAAGUGACACUGGUUGCAGUAUUUGGGAAAGGCAGCAAAGUGAAAGGGUCGGAGAGCAGCAGCUAAGAGGAGGUGGGAGAGCAGCUGUGAAGAGCAGCCAGCUCACCGAUAUGCAGAGACAUCUACAUGUGGUGGCCUUGGGGAGAAGCUGCAGCUGUGCUCCAGCUGUGUACAGCAGAGGAGUGAUACAAAUAGCUAGCAAUAACAGUGACAAGUGAAGAUACAGGCUUUAGGGGGAGGAAAGGGACAGGAGGUGGGGACCUAAAGAGAACUGGCUCUGUGACAAGAAUGGGCUGCAGAACCUUUUAUUUCUGAGCUACUCCCAUUAGUGUUGCAAUAAACAAGAAGGGUUAAAAAUUCAGGAUCGGAGUGUGUAGAAAUAAAGGAAAACUGAGGAUCUGUAGGUGCUUGCUGGGUUGAGGCUCCCUGAAUGAGAGUUUUGCUCUUCCUCAGCAUGUUGGUUCUUCUGACUAGAAUAGCCCUUCAGAACUAGCACCAAUAUUCUUCUAGGGUUUGCACAGGUGAGAGGGCCACCACUAUUUUCUUCUGUCUCAGGCCAAUAUAGCAUCCUUUUCCUUCCUUUGAUUUUCUCCUCUAUAGUCAAGGGCUCUAAAAGGAUUAGUCAAAUUCUACAGACAAUGAACAAUUAGUGUUCAUAUCAUGGUCUUAGAAAAAAUGUCUUAACUUCCCAUACUUUCCAAACAGAAACAGAUCCAACAAAGUCACAGAAUUCAAGUAUAUCUAUAUAAAUCAAAUAAUCUCCUGUCUUGGCAGGAAAGGUACAGAUGCCCACCUCACUAACAAUUAUUUUCUAAUUCAUCAGGCUUUAGUAUUGCAUCCAAUUAAAAAGAAAGGGAAGGCAUGCAGUUAGAUAGUCCAUGAAUUUGGAAGCUUUCCCUAUUAGCUACCACAAGGUUUUAAAAUUAAAAAGGCCUGUGUUUUCUUUAACUGUGAGAUCAUUUAGGACAUGCAGAAUUUUUGCUAAGUUUUAAUUCUGAAGAUUCUACAAUAAUAAAGUUUCCUUCCUUCCCUAGGGAGGUGUAAUCUAGAACAACAUUUGGAGCCAGAAACUUCCAAUCUUUAAUUGUAGCCCUUACAUAAGGGGCCCAGAUCCUCAGAGAAUGCACUGAACACAUAGGUCCACUGAAGAAGAUGCCGGUGGAGGGAGGCCUGGAGUUUCCUCAGUUGGACACAGGACAGUUGAGGCUUUUGACUCUGAGCAGGCAUAGGAGACAAAUGGGGUUUGGAGCACUCAUGGGGCAAAAACGAUGGGAUGUGGUCCAAGAUUAGUCAUACAAACCUGAGAAAUAUGGAAUAAGAGGCUGGGCUGAAGCAGCCAAAGUGGUACCACCAGCUGCAAGCCCAUUAAUUAAUGCUCUGCGGUAUGUAGCAGGAAGAAUGACCCUGAUACUUGCUGAAUACAAGGAGAUAACUUUUACAGAGCAGCUAUGCUUUUCUUAAAGAGGUAUAUUUAUCCAAGAAGAACUUUGCACAUUUCCCCCCAUCUCACAAGGCAGUAAAUUAGUUCUAAUUGCAGAGAUAUGUAAUAAAAGCUGCACCCAGCCUUCUGCAGCAGUUAAAGGUUUAUUUUAUGGUUUUAGGUUUUCUUUGAGUGUCUAACUAAAAGAAGGAAUUAAGAAAAAGAACUAGAGAAAAAUGUAGGUUUUAUGGAUCUAUAAAAUCAUGAUGCUUUAGAUAAAUGUAUCUUCCCGUGCAACUUACACAAUAUAACUUAACACUGAAGUUCCGUGGCUGGCAGUAUGAUGCACUGUAUACACUAUAUUACAUAUCUCUUUUUCCAUUUGCAGUUCUCUUUACUUAGACAUAAUGUACAUUGUUAUCUCCUCAAUAAGGAAAAUGUGUAUUUACCCAUAGCUGAAGACUAUGUACUCUACUACUAGGUUUAUUAAUCAAUGUGAAAAAUAAUAAUCAAUAGCAGAUCCAGGGCCAAAUUCUGUGUAUACAGUUAACUGUUUUCAAUAUGUAUUUUUUAUAAAGACAAUAAAAGUUAGAUCAUAAUGUACUUUUCAUCUGCUCACACAACUCCCUGUGAAGAUCUCUAUCUUACAUUCUGGGUGCUUACAAAAGCUCCAUCUCUAUCAAUAGCCCAGAUACAUUUUUGCCCAAUGUUUCCUCUUCAAAGGUUUUCAUGCUCACCACCUGUGAACUGAGUUUCUUGAAUAUAUGUUAUCUAAAGUUUUUUUUAAUAUGAUUAUUAAUAUUUGCAACCACUAAAUUAACCAGUUAUGACUGAACAUUCAUACCACAGUUGAGUCCUACAGAAGAAAACAAGGUAGACCACAUACUAAGGCAACAGUUUCUCUGUUGCCUUAUCCUUCCGAACCACCUGAAUAAAAGCAAAACAAAGGGGCCAAAAGUAGCAACAGGAAAUCCCACCUAAACCCCAAUCCAGCAAAGCACUUAAGAUGUGCGAGUAGUUCUAUUGACUUCAAAGACUCUUCACAUGAUUAAAGUUAACAACACAAUCAGGUGUUUGCUAGAUCUGGACCCAGUAUACCCUGAGGUAGAUAUAUCUAUACCAAUAUUCUGUGGUCUAGAAUGAGCAUUAGGCAAAUGAGCAAACCAAAAGGGGAGAGUAUGCCUAUACUGCUUGCCCUAAGUAGCAACUCUUUGAUACUAGGAAAUGUUAAGUGGGAAAAAUCAAGAAUACAAAUAUAUAUUUAGCACAGCUCAGCAGUUUAAUUAUGGUUAAAGAAAGAACAGUGAACAUGUGGGCAGCUUUCAAGCCUACCAGUCCAAAAGAAGGCAAUACCAGCUUAAGCCAGUUCUUCAAAUAUAAUGAAAAAAGUUCAGUCAAUCAGUUCAAGAUCAUUCAGGAGAAAAAAUUAUCUUAGAAGACUUUGGACGGGUGAGUUUUGCUACAAAUGCAGCUGUGUGAUCUAACAAGCUGCAAAAAAGCAGUACUGGAAUGGGCAUUCUCAAUCUUUUGGUGGCAAACUUCAGCCUACAGUGGGCUCUGUCAGAUUGUACCUUGUUCCCUUUUCAGGACAUCUUCAGGUUCCAUAGAAGUCAAUUAUUACAGGCUUUUGUAUCAUUUUGUUUUUACUAGAAGGCAGAUGUUGGAAAUAUUAUUAUAAAGCUGUAUUUAUUUAAGUCUUGCUUUUCUUUACACUGAUUUAUUUUCCCCUUCUUCUAUGGUCAUUAUUAUGUGGCUCUCAGCUUCUUGAAUCUUCAUAUUAAGAUUUUGUUUCUAGAAUUCAAAGAGUUUGGACUUUCCAAAAUAUUUAUGGAUGAACUCUGAUUCCACUGAAGUCAACGGGAGCAGAGGUAAACCAAUACAAUGCUUUGAAACACUCACCCUAUGUUUAUUCCGAAGAAAAAGCCAUACUAAUAAACAGCUUAUCAAACAAAUACGACAAGCUUGCUGACACGAGGUAGCCCUAUGCAAGCAAUUGCUGUCCAUUAGAUGCAUUAUGUGAUCAAUUUUAACAUUUAUUUUAGAAAAUGGUUAUUAUGAAAAUCCCAAACCCACUAGGUUGUCCACUGGUAUGCCCAUCCUCCCUGAAUGUAGGACCAGAUUCAGGAAGUACCCACUUUUUCCAGCACCAUUUACGUGUAUAAACAGAUGGCUCCAGUUACAUAUAUGGCAUUACUCGUUAUAAUCUCAGUUUACAAACAUUUGGACCAAUUGCCUCUUUUCUGCAAGAGUAGAUGGUGGCUUCUUGUUCCCUUUAGAGUGUUCAUUUAAGGCAGAGCCCUACAACUGACUGAACUUGUUGGAGAAAAGAUUGGUUUUCAUCCUUCAAGCCUGCAGAGUUCUGCGGGUUGGAUCCAAUUCCCAGUAAAGUCUGUGGAAGGGCUCCUGUUCAUGGGGAACUGGACCGGGCCUUUGGAGAGUUUCAAAAAUAAAAAGCAAUGUGAAGAAUAAUAGGAUAUAAAAAUAAAAUGUAUUGCCUUCCAAAUUGUCCUAUUCUUUUUUUUUUUUUUUAAAUCUCUUGGUAGUAGUUGUGUCUUCUACAUGUUUUAGCACCAGAAAAACAUAUAAACCAUUUUUAUUGCACAGAGCAGGAAUUUAUCUGUGUGUUUCAGCUUAAAUCUGCAAGAAUCCUCUUAUAUUUUAGAACUGAAGUGAGAAAACAACAUUAAAUUCAGUUUUAUCCUGUGCACAGCAAUUAUUCUAACUGUCAGCACAUGACAUUUUUACUUCCACAGUUAAAGAGUGAAUAGUCAGAUGACGUUCCACAAGAAAUAGUGUAAGUUCAUAUAAAUUAAAUCACGUCUCCUAUAAUAUCUAUUGCCUGUCAUUUGAGAAUGCAAAUACUUUAAGACCAUUUAAUGCUAUUGGUCACAAGCAACAGCAAACUACUAAGCAGAACUAAGAAGGACACAAAUAACAUUAUUAAAACAAUAAAAUCCAUUAUCUCCUUUGCAAAUGAUUAUCCAAAUGUAAUGACCCUGAUAGGUUUUUCUAAACUCUGCAGAUGCAGAGUAAAAUCCACAACCUAUUGGAGUCGAUGGGAAUUUAGUCCUUGAUGCCAGUGGAGCAGAAUUUCAUCUUUAGUAUCUAACUUUUAACUAGCAUUUACAGUGAAGUCUUUGGGACAAGGAUUGGGCCCUAAUUAACUCCUUUUAAAUAACAAUUCAGAUGUGUAUUCUGUAUGGUUGAUUUCGCAUACAGAACUAGAGUAUAACGCUGUCAAGGGCAUUGUACCUGGUGCAAGACACUAACUUUCCUUUGCUGCCACCAGCAAUGCUAAAUACUAAUGAAUAUUUGUCCAGUUCUAAUCUUUUUUUAUGAUAAAUGGAAGCAUAUUUCAAGAAUGCUGUACUUUAGAUAACAAAUUGUAACAUUUGUUUAAUCCUGACAGAUCUGUGUCUGAUUUUCCUUAAAACAAAAUGCAAAGAUAAGAUCUGAAACCAACUCUAAAGUAUACUGUAAAACAUUUUACUAUAUACUGAGAGCCAGAUGCUGCUUUGUUACACUGGUGUAAAUCCUGAGUAACUUUGAGU